CCGAUCGUAUUCGUUCUAUUCACUGCGUGAUUGUUGAUCCAAAUCUCUUCUCCGCCAAUAAAUGUUGCGGAAAAUUUUAUUAGGUUUCAAGUCGUGCGAUUUGUUUUGAGCAAUUUGAGCAGGCAAUGAUUUCGUCAAUGAAAACGGAUGCUGCGGAUCUUUCGAUCGUCAUAGGGAUCGGCUCAGGAUAUGCCCUCAAAUACAGUUACUAAAUUAACCUUCACGACGACCAUGUUCCGGACAAAAAUGGGGACGACACUGGAGCAUUUCUUUGCCUGGUUCAGGUGCGCAAUAUGUACGUGAUGCAUUUCGCUCGUUCAUGUUUUUAUUGCACCUAACACUAUCGCACUGAGCGGCCGGGAUGGGCCUCCGGCUCGAAGGGAUCAUCGAGUACAAACACCAAAUGGUUGGCCCUUGUACACUUUUUCACCUUAUAUAAAGAACUUUGUAGUAAGGAAGCUCCUCACUCCUCUUUAAACCUCUGAAACGGUAUACAAUCGACACCAACAGGAGAUCGACUACACUGUGUGAACCAUCUUGUCCAGUGCAACCAGGCAACAAAACAUUCCUCUUCAGCAACAGCACCAUCAUAAUCCGUGCUAGAAGCAACUCCAACUUGUUGUCGGGAGACUAAAAGAUGCAAAAUUGAUCUUAAAUAAAAGCAAACAAAUUUGUGUAGAAUGAUGAUUGAUCAAA